GGCCUUUUGGUGCUUACCACAGGCUGUACUUUUUCACUGACUGAAUAGAGAGAGGAGGCAGAGUAAACCUCUCCUACAUACGCCUCAGUCCAAGCCUGGCCUGCAGUAUGAAUGGAGCAAUAUGG
rnacentral:snoRNA from 2 species